UGCUUUGCAAGCAGGGGGUCAGCGGUUMGAUCCCGCUCAGCUCCACCAAAUCGAUUGGUGUUGAGACUGACGGUUGACGGCAUUGUCUUUUGAAGAAAAUAAAAGUUUGCAUCGGCUAAGGCCUGAUGCCUGUUCUGCAUACAUUGUGAAGAGAAGAUUGAUCUGGAGGCUUCCAGGUGUUUUGGACUUAUGUCCGGAACGUCCGAGCCCAGUUCCUGUGAACCCAUGGAUGGCCUAGCCGGCCGGAUGUGGUGGAGGGAUUGGAGGGUGGAAGGAAGCUUGUCGCUCUGGAUCGUUUGUUGUUCGUUGCCUUCGGGCUUCGUCUGAUAAGCGAUCGGAUUACCGUUGCCUGACCGCGCGGUAUCGGAUCCAAUCUCGAGAAGCUGGUCUUAAGACAGGCUGCAAGUGGGCUGCUYGGCGUAGCUCCAAUAAAGCAGACCUGUCGAACACGUCGAUGGCAUUGUUGGAUUGGCUGGGUUGUAAAAGGUAACCCGGUCUGUUGCCGUUCCUUUGGGGCGAUAGCGAGAUGAUGAGCAUUGGCAAUGAGAACGAUUAAGUGUCGUAAGGGCAUUUGGUGGAUGCCUUGGCAUGCACAGGCGAUGAAGGACGUGAUACGCUGCGAAAAGCCGU
rnacentral:misc_RNA from 1 species